CACGAGGAAGAGGUUGGAGGUGGAAACGGGAGACACGAGAGAGAAAAAACUCACGAAAAGGACCGACAGGAAGGAAAAAACGCGGAGCUGAAGGAAGGUCUGCCUGGAGCUGAGCGAGGACAGAAAGAACUGGGAGGGCUUAUCCUCCUAGCACCAAGGGGGUGUGGCCAAGAAUCUUUAACCAAUCAAAACUGUCCUGCCUUGGAGCUACCAGAGGUGUCCCUGGCAACAAACAACCGAGAAGAAGCCAUUUUACAUGUUUGUAGAGGAUCUCUAAGCUGAGGCACAAUCCCAAAAUAAUUUCACUGCAGUCACCCCAGUUUUAGCAUCUACAAGCAAAGCCAUGCCUAAGAGACUUCUGGAAAGGUCAUUAGGUCUGAGUGACAGCAAAGACCGAAUAAAGAUGAUGUAGUCUGGUGGUAGGAGAGGAUGUGCCCUAGAAACACAAGCCAUAAAGAGGAGGAAAUUGCCACUCCGUGUUGUGCGGUCAAUAGGAUUUCCAUGCAUAUCCUGUUGGCUGUAUUGAAAGUGAGUGAGUGAGUGAGUGAGUGAGAGAGAGUUCAUUGUUAUUUAACUACCUUGUGCAAGACACCCAGCCUCUGGCUGAACUGCUGUGUUACCAUGGGAUGUUCGCAAACAUUUUAACUGCUCAGAGUGAACAUAACAGAAUGUGGACCAACAGUGCAGGUUCAAUGAAGGAACUAAAAGUUUCGUUUGGAUUGGGAAAACAUCUUCACACUGAGCUGAGGGACAAGAGGAGCUAUGAACUGCUAGCAAGAAGAGUGGAUAGUCAAGGAAGCUGUGGAAACUCCAGAACUUUAUGUGGAUUAGGAAGUCAAGAAAGUAGCAAGGACAAGGGUCAGGGGAGCAGAAAAUGACCUGUAAGCUUCAAGACAUCCCAAAAGGAAGAAUGGGACAAAACUGUAACAAAUAAAUGAUGCUUUUUAAAAGAGGGA